CCUACGGGUGGCAGCAGUGGGGAAUAUUGGACAAUGGGGGGAACCCUGAUCCAGCCAUGCCGCGUGUGUGAAGAAGGCCCUCGGGUUGUAAAGCACUUUCAGUGAGGAAGAACGCCUGGUGGUUAAUACCCAUCAGGAAAGACAUCACUCACAGAAGAAGCACCGGCUAACUCCGUGCCAGCAGCCGCGGUAAUACGGAGGGUGCGAGCGUUAAUCGGAAUUACUGGGCGUAAAGCGCGCGUAGGUGGCUUGAUAAGCCGGUUGUGAAAGCCCCGGGCUCAACCUGGGAACGGCAUCCGGAACUGUCAAGCUAGAGUGCAGGAGAGGAAGGUAGAAUUCCCGGUGUAGCGGUGAAAUGCGUAGAGAUCGGGAGGAAUACCAGUGGCGAAGGCGGCCUUCUGGACUGAUACUGACACUGAGGUGCGAAAGCGUGGGUAGCAAACAGGAUUAGAUACCCCUGUAGUC
rnacentral:rRNA from 1 species